GUUUGACCAAUGAGAUCUAUAUAAUUGCACAAGAGUAUGACUUUGGUUUGAUUAACCUCUUUUAUAGGUCAAUAACACAGAUGCAGAGGGUAGGCUUACUCUUGCAGAUGCUCUGGUGUAUGCUUGUAACCAGGAUGCUGAAAAGAUAGUGGACCUGGCAACAUUAACUAGGGCCUGUAUAAUUGGUCUUGGAUCCUCAAUUAGAGGUAAUUAUUAUAUAUGAUCAUUUUACCAAUAUUUGUUAGUACAAAAGAUCCUCAAUUGUGCUUUUUAUAGUUCGCUGAUGAGAAGGUUCAAUGGCUGCAUAUUGGCAUGGUUGGUCCAGUUUGGAAUGAAAAGCAGCGUUGUGCAACAGGAUUUGGUGUUGCUACUUUAGUAGAAUGGGUUUUGAAGAACGCAUCUUAAAUGUCAACUGGAUUGUUGAACUAGUUUACUGCACUGCAUUAUAAGUAAACUAAAAAUUAGUUUA